CAGAGAUCCAGGGUUCAAGAGUGAACUCCGCAAGUGUCUGUGUGAGUUUGCACGUUCUCCCCGUGACGGCAUGGUGAGGGUACUCCAGUCCCCUUCCACAUCCCAAAGCUGAGUCAUGCCUUCAGGACCUGCUUUCAUAAUGGAUAUUUUUCUGAAGUUUCUAUUUGACGUGAGAUUCCAGCCUUGCUCCAAUGCAGUCCUCGGGAACUGAACAUUUUACAUGCUAUAAGAAGGUUUGUGUGCUUCUGAAGAUGCCAAAUGAUGCAGAAGUAAAAGUCCUUUGCUGAAAUACUUUUCUCAAUAGGUGAUCCUUUCUCAUUCAUGGGCAAUGGGUGUCACUGGCAAAAGUGGCAUCUAUUGCUC